UACGUAGGGUGCAAGCGUUGUCCGGAAUUAUUGGGCGUAAAGAGCUCGUAGGCGGUUUGUCGCGUCUGCUGUGAAAACUCGGGGCUUAACCCCGGGCCUGCAGUGGGUACGGGCAGACUAGAGUGCGGUAGGGGAGACUGGAAUUCCUGGUGUAGCGGUGAAAUACGCAGAUAUCAGGAGGAACACCGGUGGCGAAGGCGGGUCUCUGGGCCGUAACCGACGCUGAGGAGCGAAAGCAUGGGGAGCGAACAGG
rnacentral:rRNA from 1 species